rnacentral:rRNA from 1 species
CCUACGGGAGGCAGCAGUGGGGAAUAUUGGACAAUGGGCGAAAGCCUGAUCCAGCCAUGCCGCGUGUGUGAAGAAGGCCUUCGGGUUGUAAAGCACUUUCAGUGGGGAAGAAAGCCUUGGGGCUAAUACCCUCGAGGAAGGACAUCACCCACAGAAGAAGCACCGGCUAACUCCGUGCCAGCAGCCGCGGUAAUACGGAGGGUGCGAGCGUUAAUCGGAAUUACUGGGCGUAAAGCGCGCGUAGGCGGUCUGAUAAGCCGGUUGUGAAAGCCCCGGGCUCAACCUGGGAACGGCAUCCGGAACUGUCAGGCUAGAGUGCAGGAGAGGAAGGUAGAAUUCCCGGUGUAGCGGUGAAAUGCGUAGAGAUCGGGAGGAAUACCAGUGGCGAAGGCGGCCUUCUGGACUGACACUGACGCUGAGGUGCGAAAGCGUGGGUAGCAAACUGGAUUAGAUACCCUAGUAGUC